AGCAUUAUUGUAGCAGAAACUUAAAUAAUACUGGGGGCUAAAUAUAGUGGACCAGUGACAGCACAGAAUGGUAAAAUGGAGUGAUUGUUACUUACAUCACAACCCUUCAUCUCUGUUGAUGGACACUAAAAUCAAAGUGGCAAUUACUCAGAGUUGGGAGUCAUUGAGUUGCAUCAUUGUUGUUUGGUUGGGAUUUUGGGAAAUAGUGCAGAGAGAUUAGCAGUAGUGACAUGGAACAAUGUGAGCCUCAGCUUCCAUCCCUGAGGCUGCCUUCAUCUGCCAGGGAAAUGUCUCUGUGUGCAGCCUUGCCCUCUGCACACAGUGUGUAUGGCCACCUGAAUAAGUGUCCUUUCAUAGCGACUAAUGGAUUGAAAUGGGUGCUAGAGCGUAUUAGAUCAUUCCAGUGGAAACAUGUAUGAGUGAUGGAAUGAACAGAUAUAAUUAAUCCAGGUCUGGUAAGUGAGGUACUGAUACAUAUUAAGUUGAAGUGAAUUUCACA
rnacentral:lncRNA from 1 species